rnacentral:rRNA from 1 species
AGUGAUUCUUGGUCAUUUAGAGGAAGUAAAAGUCGUAACAAGGUUUCCGUAGGUGAACCUGCGGAAGGAUCAUUACUGAUUUGCUUAAUUGCACCACAUGUGUUUUUCUUUGAAACAAACUUGCUUUGGCGGUGGGCCCAGCCUGCCGCCAGAGGUCUAAACUUACAACCAAUUUUUUAUCAACUUGUCACACCAGAUUAUUACUAAUAGUCAAAACUUUCAACAACGGAUCUCUUGGUUCUCGCAUCGAUGAAGAACGCAGCGAAAUGCGAUACGUAAUAUGAAUUGCAGAUAUUCGUGAAUCAUCGAAUCUUUGAACGCACAUUGCGCCCUCUGGUAUUCCGGAGGGCAUGCCUGUUUGAGCGUCGUUUCUCCCUCAAACCGCUGGGUUUGGUGUUGAGCAAUACGACUUGGGUUUGCUUGAAAGACGGUAGUGGUAAGGCGGGAUCGCUUUGACAAUGGCUUAGGUCUAACCAAAAACAUUGCUUGCGGCGGUAACGUCCACCACGUAUAUCUUCAAACUUUGACCUCAAAUCAGGUAGGACUACCCGCUGAACUUAAGCAUAUCAAUAAGCGGAGG